rnacentral:tRNA from 11 species
GGGGUGGUGGCGCAGUUGGCUUGCGCGUAGGUCUCAUAGCUUCUGAGUAAUCCUGAGCUCGAGAGUUCGAUCGAUUCUUUUUCU